AUUGAACGCUGGCGGCAUGCCUUACACAUGCAAGUCGAACGGCAGCGGGGGAGAAGCUUGCUUUUCCUGCCGGCGAGUGGCGAACGGGUGAGUAAUACAUCGGAACGUGCCCUGUAGUGGGGGAUAACUAGUCGAAAGAUUAGCUAAUACCGCAUACGACCUGAGGGUGAAAGUGGGGGACCGCGAGGCCUCAUGCUAUAGGAGCGGCCGAUGUCUGAUUAGCUAGUUGGUGGGGUAAAGGCCUACCAAGGCGACGAUCAGUAGCUGGUCUGAGAGGACGAUCAGCCACACUGGGACUGGGACACGGCCCAGACUCCUACGGGAGGCAGCAGUGGGGAAUUUUGGACAAUGGGCGAAAGCCUGAUCCAGCAAUGCCGCGUGUGUGAAGAAGGCCUUCGGGUUGUAAAGCACUUUUGUCCGGAAAGAAAUGGCUCUGGUUAAUACCUGGGGUCGAUGACGGUACCGGAAGAAUAAGGACCGGCUAACUACGUGCCAGCAGCCGCCGUAAUAC
rnacentral:rRNA from 1 species